rnacentral:rRNA from 1 species
UACGAAGGGGGCUAGCGUUGUUCGGAAUCACUGGGCGUAAAGGGUGCGUAGGCGGAUUCUUAAGUCAGGGGUGAAAUCCCGAGGCUCAACCUCGGAACUGCCUUUGAUACUGGGGAUCUUGAGUCCGGAAGAGGUGAGUGGAACUGCGAGUGUAGAGGUGAAAUUCGUAGAUAUUCGCAAGAACACCGGUGGCGAAGGCGGCUCACUGGUCCGGAACUGACGCUGAGGCACGACGAGCGUGGGGAGCAAACAGG